UACGAAGGGUGCAAGCGUUACUCGGAAUUACUGGGCGUAAAGCGUGCGUAGGUGGUGAGUUAAGUCUGUCGUGAAAGCCCCGGGCUCAACCUGGGAAUGGCGAUGGAUACUGGCUCGCUAGAGUGCGGUAGAGGGUGGUGGAAUUACCGGUGUAGCAGUGAAAUGCGUAGAGAUCGGGAGGAACAUCAGUUGCGAAGGCGGCCACCUGGACCAGCACUGACACUGAGGCACGAAAGCGUGGGGAGCAAACAGG
rnacentral:rRNA from 1 species